rnacentral:rRNA from 1 species
AACGAACGCUGGCGGCGUGGAUUAGGCAUGCAAGUCGAACGGGAUCCUUAGGAUUCAAUUCUUCGGAAAAGAAACCUUUGGUGAGAGUGGCGGAAGGGUGAGUAACGCGUGGGCAAUUUGCCCUUGAGUUGGGGAUAGCCCUCCGAAAGGAGGGGUAAUACCGAAUGUGGUCGCCUCGGGCAUCCGAGGCUGUCUAAAGAUGGGGAUCCUUCGGGACCUGUCGCUCGAGGAUGAGCCCGCGUCCCAUCAGCUUGUUGGUAGGGUAACGGCCUACCAAGGCAUACGGGUAGCUGGUCUGAGAGGAUGGUCAGCCACACUGGGACUGAGACACUGCCCAGACUCCUACGGGAGGCUGCAGUCGAGAAUCAUUCGCAAUGCGCGAAAGCGUGACGAUGCGACGCCGCGUGCAGGAUGACGGCCUUCGGGUUGUAAACUGCUGUCAUGGGGGAACAACCGCCUGGGUGUUAAUACCACCUGGGUCUGAUGGUACCCCAAGAGGAAGCCACGGCUAACUCUGUGCCAGCAGCCGCGGUAAUACAGAGGUGGCGAGCGUUGUUCGGAUUUACUGGGCGUAAAGGGUGCGCAGGCGGUUCCGUAUGUCGGGUGUGAAAUCUUACCGUUCAUCGGUGAAACUGCAUUCGAAACUGCGGGGCUAGAGUACGGGAGAGGAGAGCGGAAUUCUUGGUGUAGCGGUGAAAUGCGUAGAUAUCAAGAGGAACGCCGGUGGCGAAGGCGGCUCUCUGGAACGAUACUGACGCUGAGGCACGAAAGCUGGGGGAGCAAACAGGAUUAGAUACCCUGGUAGUCCCAGCCGUAAACGGUGUGCACUUGGUGUAGGUCGGUUU